UAUAAAAAUACCAUCUCAUAUUGUUUUAGGAUUCCAAGGUCAUUAUGUGUGGCUCUCCUCUAUUCUCAAAAGGGUCAAACACCAGGAGAAGCUGCCUACACCUGAGGUUUGAACUGCUCUUGAAAGACAAGUCUCUUCCUCAAGAUAUGGAAGGACAAAACCAAGGAGAAAGAGCUUAG
rnacentral:lncRNA from 1 species